ACCAUGCAGUCGAGCGGAUGAAGGGAGCUUGCUCCCUGAUUUAGCGGCGGACGGGUGAGUAAUGCCUAGGAAUCUGCCUGGUAGUGGGGGACAACGUUUCGAAAGGAACGCUAAUACCGCAUACGUCCUACGGGAGAAAGCAGGGGACCUUCGGGCCUUGCGCUAUCAGAUGAGCCUAGGUCGGAUUAGCUAGUUGGUGAGGUAAAGGCUCACCAAGGCGACGAUCCGUAACUGGUCUGAGAGGAUGAUCAGUCACACUGGAACUGAGACACGGUCCAGACUCCUACGGGAGGCAGCAGUGGGGAAUAUUGGACAAUGGGCGAAAGCCUGAUCCAGCCAUGCCGCGUGUGUGAAGAAGGUCUUCGGAUUGUAAAGCACUUUAAGUUGGGAGGAAGGGCAGUAAGCUAAUACCUUGCUGUUUUGACGUUACCGACAGAAUAAGCACCGGCUAACUUCGUGCCAGCAGCCGCGGUAAUACGAAGGGUGCAAGCGUUAAUCGGAAUUACUGGGCGUAAAGCGCGCGUAGGUGGUUCGUUAAGUUGGAUGUGAAAGCCCCGGGCUCAACCUGGGAACUGCAUCCAAAACUGGCGAGCUAGAGUAUGGCAGAGGGUGGUGGAAUUUCCUGUGUAGCGGUGAAAUG
rnacentral:rRNA from 1 species